CCUACGGGAGGCAGCAGUGAGGAAUAUUGGUCAAUGGACGAGAGUCUGAACCAGCCAAGUAGCGUGAAGGAUGACUGCCCUAUGGGUUGUAAACCUCUUUUAUAAAGGAAUAAAACGAGGCACGUGUGCCUCUUUGCAUGUACCUUAUGAAUAAGGAUCGGCUAACUCCGUGCCAGCAGCCGCGGUAAUACGGAGGAUCCGAGCGUUAUCCGGAUUUAUUGGGUUUAAAGGGUGCGUAGAUGGGUUGUUAAGUCAGUUGUGAAAGUUUGCGGCUCAACCGUAAAAUUGCAGUUGAUACUGGGAGCCUUGAGUGCAGUUGAGGUAGGCGGAAUGCGUGGUGUAGCGGUGAAAUGCUUAGAUAUCACGAAGAACUCCGAUUGCGAAGGCAGCUUACUAACCCGCCACUGACAUUGAUGCUCGAAAGUGUGGGUAUCAAACAGGAUUAGAUACCCUUGUAGUC
rnacentral:rRNA from 1 species